AGCGCAGGUGGUGGGAUGGCCACCCGUGCAGAACUACCGAAAGAACACCCUCGUCGCGAGCUCCUCCAGGAGAAAGGCACCGGCGGAGGACGCCGCGUCCACAGCUCAGACCAUGUACGUGAAGGUCAGCAUGGACGACGCGCCCUACCUCAAGAUGGUGGACAUCAAGAUGUACUCCAGCUACGAGGACCUCUCCAUGGCGCUUGAGAAGAUGUUCAGCUGCUUCAUCACUGGUGAGUACUGUUCGGUUCUAUGCUUCUGUCUAAUGCAUUUCCCUCUUGUAAGUACUGCGUCGUCCAAUGCCAUUUCUGCAAGGGUAUUGAUGGGAUCCGUUGCUAUAAGUCCUUUGUGACGUACUGGAUUUACUCCAAAAAGCGUAAGAGCAGGUUCAGUCCAAUGAAAGUUGCUUUCUUGAACCAAAAAUUCACAAGAUUUGCAUGAAGAUAGCAUUCAUACAGCGAUGUGUUGUGCAUAUAUGAUCUUAGACAAGCACCAAGCACAAUACAAGCAUAGUCAUUUUGUGCACAGGAGAAAGUUUUGCUUUAUCACGCCACAAUCUAAGUCCAAUGGUCCUUGGCUCCACCGCUCAAUUUUCAUCAAAGUUUUUUAGCUUUAUGAACGGACGGAUAAUUGGGAGCUUGGGAUACAUGUGCCAAGUGCCCUAGACGAGGCACAUAGUGCAAAGGGGCUUCCUAUAAGACCUAUAUAUAUUUACCAAGUGGUUGUUUAGCUAGAAUAGUAAACUUCAGUAAUCUUUUUUUAUUUGCUAGAACACUAGAUAUAAUAAAUUUAUGUUUUAUCCACAUCUUUUAUUUGGAAACCUUACCAAUAAUUUUUUUGCAAAAUAUAUGCAGAAUGUAAAGUUAAAAAUAUUUCUUAUGCUUACUGCAAAUCAUGUCAGUAAUCCAGACUUGGUGUUUAAAAGAUUUUUAUGAAUAAAGAUUGUUAUCCCUUGGUGACUACUAUUUCUUAGUAAAAUCUAUCUACCAAGGUAUGUCUACUACUGUAUCUUCACAGAUCGCUUUAGUUUAGUACUACAACAUUCACUGUACCCAAAUACCUUCUGUGAUUUGGCCCAAGAAAGUCUGUUCUCCUUUGCGUCCAAAAUAUGUAAGUUUGCUAAUUUCAUAAACUCCUUUUAUCCUUGAUGCAGAUUUGUUCUUAACACUUGGUGGGAAUAAAAAGGAACAAAGAGAUAGUGAUGGAUGGGUAGGAGAGGCGAGGGCCGCCUCACCGUAGAUGGAGCCCACGGGGCGCGCAAGGAGUGACGCGCCUUCUCUGGCUCCUUGCUCCGCUCCAAUGGCGUCGAUGUCCACGUGCCACGUCAUGGAACGGAUGCGGCACAAUUGGCUAGGUACCAUUUUCUUUCCAAGCGUAGUAUCUCUUUUGUUAUUGUCAAAUCAUUUUAGUUCACUUGGUUCUUUUUGUUUAGAAUAUCUUGGAACAAAGUGCAACACUUAUGUUUAUCUGCUAAAUUGAACUUAAAACAGGCGAAACAUAUCAGAAAACCGAUAUAGAUUUCUUGGAAUCGGAAGCAAGCGCUUUCAGGGAUGAUGGUUCAACAGCUUCAACUGCAAUUUUGGUGGGUGACCGUCUGUAUGUUGCAAAUGUUGGUGAUUCUCGUGCUGUUAUUCCAAAAGCUGGCAAAGCUAUGGCACUUUCAGAAGAUCACAAACCUAAUAGGAUUGAUGAGCGGAAGAGAAUUGAAAAUGCUUGUGUAUUGUCAUUUGGGCUGGUAAGCAUGUGCUCUUCGUUAUUUUAUACAUUGGGCUAAUUUGCUUGCAUUAGCUGAAGUUGACAAGGCAGAUUGCAAAAAGCUUCUGCUAUUCAUCCGUAGCCAUGUGUUCCUGGGAGCUUGAACAUGUUAGGUUUCCAUACACCCAUUCGAGUAUGAAAAACUUUGUAUUGCAGUGGAGCAGCCUUGUUUUUUCAAAUCAUCAUUUUUUUCUUUGAAUGAUAAGCAUAAAAGUCGAAGUGUAGGCAAUCUAAAGGUAUAACUACCUCAUUAAAGAAGCCAAAAAAUUCACAUUAUAUACUUACAAUGAAUCAAAAAUAUCUCCAUGCCUCAUCGACGAAAAAGAAAAUUUAAAGAGUUCUUUGGUUGGAUAUAAUUGUUUCUUAUUGAGUUGCAUGCAAUGCCAAUUAACUAAAAGUUUAUGGUACAGACAAAAUAUGCACAAUGCACUCAUACUUCAACGCCCCCUCACUUGUAGGUUCCCUUAAGCUUGAUGUCAGAUAGAACUGUGCUAUAACUUUUAUUAAAUUGUUGCAUCCAGUAUAUAGUAUAAACUAUUAAAUAUUAUAUUUUGGCGCUGCUGCAAGUAACAUCAGUUUAGAGUGGUUCAGGACAAUUUAUCGUGUCGGACGUGGACAAGAGGCGGCUUGCAAAAUUUUGUUUUCAGAGGCUAUAUCUUCAUAGCAAACGGAAGUAUUGGCAACAAAAGAUGUAGAUAGAGCAGUAGAGGGAGAGAGCGUCCAUGAUUCCGAUCACCCAUAUCAUCGAUCAUCAGCAUCAUCUGUUCCAAACUAGGAGAGAUAAAGCGAUAGCCCGAGUGGCAAUAGAAAACCCUUAUAUUAAAGAGAUAAUCGAUGAUGCUGCGGACAGACCUAUUGAACUCAUAUGUGCUCAGUAGUAGCCCUUGCUCUAUCAUCUGGCGGCAUAGCUUAUAUGUCUCAUCUGUCAUCCCCUCAUCUUCACAACCUUUGUUCAUCAACCCAUAUGCCACAUUGGACAGUGUCACUGGCAACCACAUCAAACAAUUCUAAUGUUUUUCCCAACUUCUCCACUCAAAUAGUACACGUGCAUCAACAUUCUCGCGAGAGCCGCAUCCAUCUUCCCCGUAGCCAGCAUCAUCUGAUCCUUCAGCUGCAAUACCUCAUCCAUCCUUCCCACCUUCACAAGUACACCCACCAUAGAAUUGUAUGUUAACUCCCACAGCUCGACCCAUGCCUCCCUCAUCUUUCCCAGUACCUGAAGUGCCCGAUCUGCAUCAUGUAGCCUACCCAAACCUGUGAUUGUGGUGGCAUAAACGUAUUCGUCAGGCUUGACCCAGGCACCGGCCAUUUCACCGAACACCCUGACAGCGUCUCUUUAUAGUACGACGUAAAACUGUAGUUGUUAUUGUAAUUGGGGUACAAAAUGGAUGAGGUAGCAUAAAUGUCAUGUAAACUUAGUGGGGGAGAGUGAUAAUGGUAAAGAAAUUCUGUAAAUAUCAGUGAGUGUUCGUCCGAUGGAUUGGUUGGGGAUGGCACUCCGCUCUUGUCAGCUCUGCAGCUUACCUCAGAACAUAGCACGUCAGUGCAAGAGGUAAUUGAAUUGAUUCAAGAUUAACUGAGUCCUUCAGUGUCUGUUCUUUUUUAUUAGCUGAUCUGGCUUCCUGAUAGAAUGCAAUUACAGAUCAAUAAGUAACAUUUUUUAUUAGUUAAUUACAUAUCUUUUAUUGUGAAGAACUUUCCUGUCUAAGAUUCAUAAUUUAAUUACCAGCAAUUAGUUAAUUUAUGAGAAAAAAAUUGCGAUACUAAUCAUAUUUGUUUCUACAGUACACAAGAUUCAGUUUUCAUUUCAUGUUCUAAUUUUGUAAGCUGCAGAUUCCUCUAGGUCGGAUGGAAGGGCGUAUCACACAUAAUCUGGCCACAUGAUAGAAUGCGUGGAGUCGACAGGAUGGUGCUAGAAGGAAGGAUCCUUUCUCAGCUCAUCAAACAGCAUUAACGACAAGUAUCGCUCCCCAAGGAUUGAAGAACAGUCUGCAGCAAUGGACCACCGAUCAGUACUCUGAAACUGCCUUCAUGUGAAAGGAAUGUUCAAUGCAGUAGUAGUAUUAGAGUAUAGCUCACUAGGGAAUAAUGCAUCUUAUGAACAAGUAGUGUUGGAGGAACAAGUAUCUGGCCACCUGACAAAGUGAGCUAUUGUCACACGAUGAUACAUUUGAUCCAUCUUUGGCCACAUACCAUUGCUGUCUUUUUUUCUGACGAGACAAUUUAAUGUUGUACGCUAUUGAUGUUCAUCAUUUGAUUGUUGCUCUGAAUUCG